AACGAACGCUGGCGGCAUGCCUAACACAUGCAAGUCGAACGAACCCUUCGGGGUUAGUGGCGCACGGGUGCGUAACACGUGGGAAUCUGCCCUUUGCUUCGGAAUAACAGUUAGAAAUGACUGCUAAUACCGGAUGAUGUCGAAAGACCAAAGAUUUAUCGGCAAAGGAUGAGCCCGCGUAGGAUUAGCUUGUUGGUGGGGUAAUGGCCUACCAAGGCGACGAUCCUUAGCUGGUCUGAGAGGAUGAUCAGCCACACUGGGACUGAGACACGGCCCAGACUCCUACGGGAGGCAGCAGUGGGGGAAUAUUGGACAAUGGGCGAAAGCCUGAUCCAGCAAUGCCGCGUGAGUGAUGAAGGCCUUAGGUUGUAAAGCUCUUUUACCAGGGAUGAUAAUGACAGUACCUGGAGAAU
rnacentral:rRNA from 1 species